rnacentral:rRNA from 1 species
AUACGGAGGGUCCAAGCGUUAUCCGGAAUCAUUGGGUUUAAAGGGUCCGCAGGCGGUCAAUUAAGUCAGAGGUGAAAGCCCAUCGCUCAACGAUGGAACUGCCUUUGAUACUGGUUGACUUGAGUUAUACGGAAGUAAAUAGAAUAAGUAGUGUAGCGGUGAAAUGCAUAGAUAUUACUUAGAAUACCGAUUGCGAAGGCAGUCUACUACGUAUAUACUGACGCUGAGGGACGAAAGCGUGGGGAGCGAACAGGAUUAGAAACCCUAGUAGUCC